rnacentral:tRNA from 1 species
GUCUAGUGGUAGAAUACAACGUUGUCAGCGUUGUGACCCGAGUUCAAUUCUCGG